AUGAGAAUUUCUUUCAUUCCUUCUAUUCUCUCUACAUUAACAAAGUCUAUCAUGGCUAAUAGGCAAUCAUCUGCGCGUUCGAAAGAACGCAAGAUGGGAUACAUUUUAGAGCUACAACACAAGAUUCAGACACUGCAGACUGAAGCCACUACACUCUCUGCGCAACUUACUCUAUUGCAGUCCAGAUGCUUCAUGAACUUGCAUGAUGACUGUUUCUUCUCUUUCAUUCGUCUAGAGAUUAGACAGCAGGGACAACAAAAAGGAGCGAGGGGAAAAGUAAUAAUAAGAAACAACUGA